GUACACAAAAAUGCACAUGCUGUGAGCUCGAUGAGUAGGGCGGGACACGUGGUAUCCUGUCUGAAUAUGGGGGGACCAUCCUCCAAGGCUAAAUACUCCUGACUGACCGAUAGUGAACCAGUACCGUGAGGGAAAGGCGAAAAGAACCCCGGCGAGGGGAGUGAAAAAGAACCUGAAACCGUGUACGUACAAGCAGUGGGAGCACGCUUAGGCGUGUGACUGCGUACCUUUUGUAUAAUGGGUCAGCGACUUAUAUUCUGUAGCAAGGUUAACCGAAUAGGGGAGCCGA
rnacentral:rRNA from 1 species